UGAGGGAUGAAGGUCUUCGGAUUGUAAACCUCUGUCAUCUGGGAACAAAGCGCUCCACCUAACACGUGGAUUGUUGAUAGUACCGGAAGAGGAAGCAGUGGCUAACUCUGUGCCAGCAGCCGCGGUAAUACAGAGACUGCAAGCGUUGUUCGGAUUCAUUGGGCGUAAAGGGCGCGUAGGCGGUCGGGUAAGUCGGAUGUAAAAGCUCACAGCCCAACUGUGAUAGGUCAUUCGAAACUGCCCGGCUCGAGGAAUGGAGAGGAGACUGGAAUGGUCGGUGUAGCGGUGAGAUGCGUAGAGAUCGACCAGAACACCGGUGGCGAAGGCGGGUCUCUGGACAUUUCCUGACGCUGAGGCGCGAAAGCCAGGGGAGCAAACGGGAUUAGAUACCCCGGUAGUCCUGGCCCUAAACGGUGUUCACUUGGUGUGCGGGGAGUCGACCCCCUGCGUGCCGUAGCUAACGCGAUAAGUGAACCGCCUGGGAAGUACGGUCGCAAGAUUA
rnacentral:rRNA from 1 species